rnacentral:rRNA from 1 species
UACAGAGGUCCCAAGCGUUGUUCGGAUUCACUGGGCGUAAAGGGUGCGUAGGCGGUCGGGUAAGUCUGAUGUGAAAUCUCACAGCUUAACUGUGAAACUGCAUUGGAUACUAUCCGGCUAGAGGAAUGGAGGGGAGACUGGAAUACUUGGUGUAGCAGUGAAAUGCGUAGAUAUCAUUUGGAACGCCAAUGGUGAAAACAGGUAGCUGGGGAUGUGCUGACGCUGAGACACGAAAGCCAGGGGAGCAAACGGG